GGUAGCGUGGCCGAGCGGUGUAAGGCGCAGAUUUAAGCUCUCCAGAGGCGUGUGUUUCGAAUCCCACCGCUGCCA